UACGGGGGGGGCAAGCGUUGUUCGGAAUUACUGGGCGUAAAGGGCUCGUAGGUGGCCAACUAAGUCAGACGUGAAAUCCCUCGGCUUAACCGGGGAACUGCGUCUGAUACUGGAUGGCUUGAGUUUGGGAGAGGGGUGCGGAAUUCCAGGUGUAGCGGUGAAAUGCGUAGAUAUCUGGAGGAACACCGGUGGCGAAGGCGGCAUCCUGGACCAACACUGACACUGAGGAGCGAAAGCGUGGGUAGCAAACGGG
rnacentral:rRNA from 1 species